ensembl:snRNA U6 U6 spliceosomal RNA
GUGCUCACUUCGGCAGCACAUAUACUAAAACUGGAACGAUACAGAGAAGAUUAGUGCAAGGAUGACACGCAUAUUCAUGAAGCAUUGCACAAUAAA